GGGCAUCAUGCUCACUUGCCCCCGCUACAUACGUCCCGACACUCCGGCCUCCCGUUUCCCCGGCCAGUCUGCCCCGGAAAGUGCCUCCGAUCUCCCUGACCCAUGUUAAAUCCGGGUCCCGGUCCGUCCCGUCCCCCUCGGCGGCAGCAGCAGCGGUCCCCCCCCCUUCCCAGCGGUAGUAGCAGCAGCGGUUCCCUCCCCCCCUCAGCGGCAAUAGCAGCAGCAGUCCCCCCCCCACUUCCCAGCGGCAGUAGCAGCAGCGGUUCUCCCCCCUUCCCUCUCAGUGGCAGUAGCGGCAGCGGUUCCCUCCCCCUCUCAGCGGCCACAGCAGCAGCGGUUCCCCCCUCUCAGCGGCCGCAGCAGCAGCGCCCCCCCCCUUCCCAGCGGCAACAGCAGCAGCGGUUUAAACCCCCCCCUGCCCAUCGGCGACAGAAGAAGCAGUCCCCCCCCUCUUCCCGCCCCUGCACAUUUGAAGCAGCAGGCACUGAGAUAUCCGCAAAGGGGGAAUCGGGAGUGAUAGAAGAACAGGCCAGGCAAGGAGAGCUCUGGCAGGAAGAUUGAACUUGGAGGUGGAUGGAAGAGGAGUGUCUGGUCCCAAGGCAUCUUCUGGACGAUGGGAUCUCCUACAUGAAUAGUGAAUACCGACUGAAGACGCCGUCUGCCUCAGAGGAUACAUUUCUUCAGAGGUUCCACAUUGCGAGAAAAAAAUCAGACAGCCAUGAUGUUAAUGUGUCUAAAAAGUCAAGUUAAGCUCAGAAGGGCAUCGUGGGGAGAUCUCUAUUCCAGGCGAUGUCAGUAAAGUACCAUCAGCACGGUCGGAGCAUCAGCACCUUAUGGCCAUUAACAUUGACAAUUUUCCCUUGGACCCACAGAGUUGGCUCACUAUUACUGAAUAUACAAUUUCCAGAUUAAUGGUGCUGGAAGACGAUACUACAGACUUCCAGGCUUUGAUACCGACUACACCACUUGUUUGAAAGAAAUCUCUCAUCUGCAACAAGCUGCAGUCGGAUUGUUACUUCUUGCUGUAUGAAAAGAUUGUUACUUCUUGCUGUAUGGAUAUUCUGGAAAUUGCUAAAUAGAUGGUUAUACUGUUGCUUUAUGACAUUGCAUGCAUUUUCAUUUUAUCUACUUCUAGUCUAGAUUUAUAUGUCCUGCCAUAUUCUA